rnacentral:rRNA from 1 species
GAUGAACGCUGGCGGCGUGCCUAAUACAUGCAAGUCGAGCGAACAGACGAGGAGCUUGCUCCUCUGACGUUAGCGGCGGACGGGUGAGUAACACGUGGAUAACCUACCUAUAAGACUGGGAUAACUUCGGGAAACCGGAGCUAAUACCGGAUAAUAUAUUGAACCGCAUGGUUCAAUAGUGAAAGACGGUUUUGCUGUCACUUAUAGAUGGAUCCGCGCCGCAUUAGCUAGUUGGUAAGGUAACGGCUUACCAAGGCAACGAUGCGUAGCCGACCUGAGAGGGGGAUCGGCCACACUGGAACUGAGACACGGUCCAGAAUCCUACGGGAGGCAGCAGUAGGGAAUCUUCCGCAAUGGGCGAAAGCCUGACGGAGCAACGCCGCGUGAGUGAUGAAGGUCGUCGGAUCGUAAAACUCUGUUAUUAGGGAAGAACAAAUGUGUAAGUAACUAUGCACGUCUUGAGGGUACCUAAUCAGAAAGCCACGGCUAACUACGUG